AUCACUUUUGGCCUUUUGUAUUAAAUCAAGUGUAGUGUCUGUUCUUACCAGUUUAAUAUAUGGUAUGUCCUCCAUCUGAGGACAUAUUAAAUGGAUUUUUGGAGCUGGGAGAUGGAAUAGGAGCUUGCUCCGUCCACUCUGCGCAUUGACCCGGUAUUGGAGUACUUAUGGGAGUGGUGCACACACA